UACAGAGGGGCGAGCGUUGUUCGGAAUUACUGGGCGUAAAGGCGCGUAGGCGGCCUGCUAAGUCGAACGUGAAAUCCCUGGGCUCAACCCAGGAACUGCGUCCGAUACUGGUUGGCUUGAAUCCGGGAGAGGGAUGCAGAAUUCCAGGUGUAGCGGUGAAAUGCGUAGAUAUCUGGAGGAAUACCGGUGGCGAAGGCGGCAUCCUGGACCGGCAUUGACGCUGAUGGAGCGAAAGCUAGGGGAGCAAACGGG
rnacentral:rRNA from 1 species